GAUGAAGAACGCAGCGAAAUGCGAUAAGUAAUGUGAAUUGCAGAAUUCAGUGAAUCAUCGAAUCUUUGAACGCACCUUGCGCUCCUUGGCAUUCCGAGGAGCAUGCCUGUUUGAGUGUCAUUAAAUUCUCAAGACCUGUCUGCUUUUUUGAUAGGUAUUGGAUUUUGGGGGUUGCAGGCUGUUUCAAAUAAAUAGCCUUGCUCUCCUUGAAUGUAUUAGUGGAGAAAAGCCAUUGAUCUCCAUUGGUGUGAUAAAACCUAUCAAUGCCAGGAGCAAUAUCACUACUUCUCUCUGCUGUCUAACUGUGACUGUCUGUAUUAAUUAGUAUGGAUGGGGACAACUUGACCAACUUGACCUCAAAUCAGGUAGGACUACCCGCUGAACUUAAGCAUAUCAAUAAGCGGAGGA
rnacentral:misc_RNA from 1 species